AUGGAGCCGUUUGUUGGGAUGAGAUUUGAUACUCUCCAGGGUGCUAAGGAUCAUUACAAUGAUUAUGCCCUAAGGAUGGGUUUCUCUGUUAAGAUGAACACUUCAAGGAGGAAUGCAUAA
rnacentral:rRNA from 1 species